rnacentral:misc_RNA from 1 species
AUGGCUGCCACCAUGAAAACGUGCUCUUGUUUAUAAACAAGUGGAUUUCUACACUGAUUUUCGACAGAACAUUUUGCCUGACAUUGAACUAAUAACUCUAUAUUUUUCAAGGUUUCUAUAAGCUUUCUUGGAAUGACUAAUCAAGGGAUGACAUCUUUGACAUGUCUGAGAGAAACAUAGCUUAUAUCUCAUUCUCAAUGUCAAAUCGGCAGCAGCUUGUUUUACUGUUUUGACACACUCACGCCACUCAGGAAGUUUUCAUUAAGACCGGGACAUGCACCUUUGUAUUAACUGUUCCCGUUUUUUACGGCUUACGCAAGCGAUCCCAAAAAAAUUUGGUGCUUCCUCUGUUCCAAGACAUUUUGGUACAAGAAACUUUACAAAUGAUCCAACAUCCCGACCUGACAUACCCACUCAACGCGUGGAGCCGGUGCCUAAACAUCGGUCGUUGUUACACGCAGAAGAUGUGCCCAGCAAGGAAAAGGUCUUGUCCAGUCAUGAGGUGUUGGCGGGGAAAACUGUUACUCGUUCAAGUCAUUACAUCAUUGACAGAGAUAUUGCAAGGGCUAUAGCGACAGCAGUUUAUCAAAACCAGCCAUCCGAGAGUUGUGUCCUUGUCGAGGCAAAUCCUGGGCCAGGGAUAUUGACAAGGGCUUUCUUUGAUGCAGGGUGUCAGCACGUUGUUGCUGUAGAGAGUAAACCAGAAUUCCAGCCAUACAUGCAGGAGAUUGAGAGGACAGUGGGACCAGACAGACUCAAGUAUUUUGACUUUGAUCCUUUCAUCUUGUGGAGGCGGGACAUGAUCACGAACAAGCAUGAUGCCAGGUACAAGGAAGUAGAGAACAGCAUUGCCCAGUACAUAACAUCCAGGCUGCUGACAGAUGUUCCUGUCAGUGUGUUUGGUGUUCUGAGUAAAAACAAGGAGUAUCCCUUCCUCUCCUACCUGUCCAAGACCUUUGCCUUAGGGGAAGGGCUGUUCUCUGUCAGGCCAAGGAACUGGUUCUUGUUUGUGUCUGCUAAAAUGUACCUGCAACUGAAGGUUUGUCGGGGUGACGUUUGGUCGUCCGUCUUCUACAACAAAGUGGCUGUCAUCCUCUACAGUUUCUUUGACUUCAAGUUGGUGAUGGAGCUUGAACACAACAAAUUUGCACCUCCAUUUAGGAAGAAAAUCAGGAAAGUGACCCGGCUGUACCCCGAGUGUGAUGUCAACACAAAGUACCUUGUGCAGCUGUCGGUGAAGCCAAAUGUAGAACAGAUCCUUCCUCCCAGUGAGAUCACCACCUUUGCCAUGUUCCUUAAACAGCUCCUGUUCAGGAGGAAUGACAGAUUCAUCCCCCGAAUGGAACAGCUGAUCCCUGGGUGUGGGCUGCACUUGAUCCAGGCCAGGUUCUCCAUGAUGCAGCUAGUGAUGGACCUGACUCCGGCACAGCUGCUGGAGGUCUUCAAGUCACUUCUCACCUGGCCAGAGUAUCCGGACUCUCCCCUGUCCUUCAUCUUGACAGAGAGGUCAGAGGUCGACAUUGAUGAGGAAGAGGUCAAGGAUAAAUUAAAAGAGGAGGAGGACAAGUUGAAAGAGGAAGAUAUUGCCUUUGAAGGCAGCAGGGUGGUCCGUGGUGGUGACUGAUGCACUGACCUCUACCAAGGUCCUGGAGGUCAGCAGGGUGGUCUGUGGUGGUGAUUGAUGCACCAGCCUCUACCAAGGUCCUUGAGGUCAGCAGGGUGGUCUGUGGUGGUGAUUGAUGUACCAGCCUCUACCAAGGUCCCGGAGGUCAGCAGGGUGGUCUGUGGUGGUGAUUGAUGCACAGCCUCUACCAAGGUCCCGGAGGUCAGCAGGGUGGUCAGUGGUGGUGAUUGAUGUACCAGCCUCUACCAAGGUCCCGGAGGUCAGCAGGGUGGUCUGUGGUGGUGAUUGAUGUACCAGCCUUUACCAAGAUCCUGGAGGUCAGCAGGGUGGUCAGUGGUGGUGAUUGAUGCACCAGCCUCUACCAAGAUCCUGGAGGUCAGCAGGGUGGUCUGUGGUGGUGAUUGAUGCACCAACCUCUACCAAGAUCCUGGAGGUCAGCAGGGUGGUCCAUGGUGGUGACCGAUGCACCAGCCUUGAACAUCUGCAUGGUGGUCUGUGGUGUUAGAAAAUCUUCGUGGUGUCUGUGGUGGUUACCUAUGUGUCUCACAGUAGUCUAUUUCUGAUGUUUAUGUUGUGAAAAUGAAAGUAAUAUUUCUCAUCAUAUUUUGUAUAGGAGUGAAUAUUUUGAUGAGAAGAUGAUUUCUAUUUCUCAACUGCUGAACACGUAUGUGAUUAUCUCCCUUUGAUCAGUUGAAUCUCAUAAUCUCUUGAGUGGUCAAAGAAUUUCAGCUUAUACCAAAUAUUUAUCUUUCAUGACAAUACAACCGGGACACCCCUGUCCAAGUGUUGACCUGCUGCCCCACUGCAAAUGUAUCACAUGUAGGUCAUUCAGAAGUCUGCUGCUGACAUCAACUCAAUGUGUCUCAUGCACCUAUUGUAAAUGCCUGUUUGAACUCGAUGUACCGCAUAUAUUGAGUACAUUGUAAUUAUUUACUGAACAAUAUCAUACCAACUGAUGAUGAAGUGAAUCCUGGAGCUUAGAUGUGAAACACUUUGGUCCUGUGAAAAAGUGUCGGUCCCUCUAGCGAGUUUGGUUUUACACCACUUUUAACAAUAGUCCAUAGGGAUGCCACGAUACAUCGAUACAUUGAUGCUUCUUCUAAGACUUACAAUUAUCGAUACAUUCAAAA